GUAUCCCGAGUACGGCGGGGCACGUGAAACCCUGUCUGAAUCUACCGGGACCAUCCGGUAAGGCUAAAUACUAGUCAGUGACCGAUAGUGAACGAGUACAGUGAUGGAAAGGCGAAAAGAACAGUGAGAAGCUGAGUGAAAUAGACCCUAAAACCGUUAGCUUACAAUCAGUUAGAGCCCUAUUGAUAGGGUGAUAGCGUGCCUGUUGAAGAAUGAGCCGGCGAGUUAUUUUAUGUUGCGAGGUUAAGGAGUUGAUAUCCGGAGCCACAGCGAAAGCGAGUGUGAAUAGCGCGUUAAGUAACAUGAAAUAGACCCGAACCUUGGCGAUCUAACCUUGACCAGGAUGAAGCGUAGGUAACACUACGUGGAGGUCCGAACCAACCGAUGUUGAAAAAUCGGUGGAUGAGUUGAGGUUAGGGGUGAAAUGCCAAUCGAGCCAAGAGCUAGCUGGUUCUCCCCGAAAUGCGUUUAGGCACAGCGUUGGAUUUAUCUUACCGGAGGUAGAGCACUAGUCUGGUGCGGGCGGCGAAAUGCCGUACCAAAUCAUGUUAAACUCCGAAUACCGGUAAUGUUACUAUCCAGCAGUGAGACUGCGAGUGCUAAGAUCCGUGGUCAAGAGGGAAACAGCCCAGAACGCCAGUUAAGGUCCCCAAUAUAUGCUAAGUGGUUAAGGAGGUAGAGUUGCUCAGACAACUAGGAGGUUGGCUUAGAAGCAGCCAUUCCUUGAAAGAGUGCGUAAUAGCUCACUAGUCAAGCGACUCCGCGCCGAAAAUACACCGGGACUAAAGCAUAUAACCGAAACUGCGUCAUAUAGUUUACUAUAUGGGUAGGGGAGCGUACUGUUGUAGGACGAAGUCAGAUCGAAAGGACUGAUGGACGAAGCAGUAGUGAGAAUGUCGGCAUAAGUAGCGAAAACAUUGGUGAGAAUCCAAUGCACCGUAAACCUAAGGUUUCCCACGGCAGGCUCGUCCGCGUGGGGUUAGUCGGACCCUAAGGCGAGGCCGAAAGGCGUAGUCGAUGGACAUCAGGUUGAUAUUCCUGAACUAACGAAUAAUCGUUUGAAAGGCGGAGGGACGCAGUAGGAUAAACAAGCGGCCGACUGGACGUGGCCGUAAAGAUGUGUAGGUAGAUUAUGUAGGAAAAUCCGCAUAAUCGUUAUAAACUGAGACAUCGAGUAGGACUCUCUACGGAGGGGAAGUUGUUGACUCCACACUGCCAAGAAAAUCUUCGCACUUGAGAUUAUAAGUUAUCCGUACCGUAAACCGCCACAGGUAGGUUGGUAGAGAAUACUAAGGUGCGCGAGACAACUCUCGCUAAGGAACUCGGCAAAAUCACCUCGUAACUUCGGGAGAAGAGGUACCCUGGUAGCGUGAAGCGAUUUACUCGUGGAGCGUGAUAGGGUCGCAGUGAAUAGGCCCAUGCGACUGUUUACCAAAAACACAGGUCUCUGCUAAGUCGAUCAAGACGAAGUAUAGGGGCUGACGCCUGCCCGGUGUCGGAAGGUUACGUGGAAGGGUUAGACUUCGGUCGAAGCUCUGAAACUAAGCCCCGAUGAACGGCGGCCGUAACUAUAACGGUCCUAAGGUAGCGAAAUUCCUUGUCAGGUA
rnacentral:rRNA from 1 species